AAAAGACAAAGAACUCACCAAUAUAUUUGAGCUAAUUGCUUGUUCCCUUUUUGUCUUUAGCAACUGGAAUUUCUCUUGUUCAGAGUAGCCAAAGAAUGACAUCAGCGAGGAUGAAACAGACCUGGAGGUUAGAGAGGUACCUGGUCUCAGAAGCUUUGCUAUAAAGAGUUCUUGCCUUCAGCUUUGGCAACCAGUGAAAGGGGAAGUCUACCUUACAUAAACCAAACCGUGCUGCAAUGAUUAUUUUUCACAGUCCAGCUGUAUGACUGCAGAGAUAAGUGAAUGUG
rnacentral:lncRNA from 1 species